AGGCUUAACACAUGCAAGUCGAGGGGCAGCACAGGUAGCAAUACCGGGUGGCGACCGGCGCACGGGUGAGUAACGCGUAUGCAACUUGCCUAUCAGAGGGGGGUAACCCGGCGAAAGUCGGACUAAUACCGCAUGAAGCAGGGGUCCCGCAUGGGGAUAUUUGCUAAAGAUUCAUCGCUGAUAGAUAGGCAUGCGUUCCAUUAGGCAGUUGGCGGGGUAACGGCCCACCAAACCGACGAUGGAUAGGGGUUCUGAGAGGAAGGUCCCCCACAUUGGUACUGAGACACGGACCAAACUCCUACGGGAGGCAGCAGUGAGGAAUAUUGGUCAAUGGGCGUAAGCCUGAACCAGCCAAGUCGCGUGAGGGAUGAAGGUUCUAUGGAUCGUAAACCUCUUUUAUAAGGGAAUAAAGUGCGGGACGUGUCCUGUUUUGUAUGUACCUUAUGAAUAAGGAUCGGCUAACUCCGUGCCAGCAGCCGCGGUAAUACGGAGGAUCCGAGCGUUAUCCGGAUUUAUUGGGUUUAAAGGGUGCGUAGGCGGCCUUUUAAGUCAGCGGUGAAAGUCUGUGGCUCAACCAUAGAAUUGCCGUUGAAACUGGGGGGCUUGAGUAUGUUUGAGGCAUGCGGAAUGCGUGGUGUAGCGGUGAAAUGCUUAUAUAUCACGCAGAACCCCGAUUGCGAAGGCAGCCUGCCAAGCCAUGACUGAC
rnacentral:rRNA from 1 species